rnacentral:rRNA from 1 species
GACGAACGUUGGCGGCGUGCUUAACACAUGCAAGUCGAACGGAAAGGCCCUGCUUUUGUGGGGUGCUCGAGUGGCGAGCGGGUGAGUAACACGUGAGUAACCUGCCCUUGACUUUGGGAUAACUUCAGGAAACUGGGGCUAAUACCGGAUAGGAGCUCCUGCUGCAUGGUGGGGGUUGGAAAGUUUCGGCGGUUGGGGAUGGACUCGCGGCUUAUCAGCUUGUUGGUGGGGUAGUGGCUUACCAAGGCUUUGACGGGUAGCCGGCCUGAGAGGGUGACCGGCCACAUUGGGACUGAGAUACGGCCCAGACUCCUACGGGAGGCAGCAGUGGGGAAUAUUGCACAAUGGGCGGAAGCCUGAUGCAGCAACGCCGCGUGCGGGAUGACGGCCUUCGGGUUGUAAACCGCUUUCGCCUGUGACGAAGCGUGAGUGACGGUAAUGGGUAAAGAAGCACCGGCUAACUACGUGCCAGCAGCCGCGGUGAUACGUAGGGUGCGAGCGUUGUCCGGAUUUAUUGGGCGUAAAGGGCUCGUAGGUGGUUGAUCGCGUCGGAAGUGUAAUCUUGGGGCUUAACCCUGAGCGUGCUUUCGAUACGGGUUGACUUGAGGAAGGUAGGGGAGAAUGGAAUUCCUGGUGGAGCGGUGGAAUGCGCAGAUAUCAGGAGGAACACCAGUGGCGAAGGCGGUUCUCUGGGCCUUUCCUGACGCUGAGGAGCGAAAGCGUGGGGAGCGAACAGGCUUAGAUACCCUGGUAGUCCACGCUGUAAACGGUGGGUACUAGGUGUGGGGUCCAUUCCACGGGUUCCGUGCCGUAGCUAACGCUUUAAGUACCCCGCCUGGGGAGUACGGCCGCAAGGCUAAAACUCAAAGGAAUUGACGGGGCCCCGCACAAGCGGCGGAGCAUGCGGAUUAAUUCGAUGCAACGCGUAGAACCUUACCUGGGUUUGACAUGGAUCGGGAGUGCUCAGAGAUGGGUGUGCCUCUUUUGGGGUCGGUUCACAGGUGGUGCAUGCCUGUCGUCAGCUCGUGUCGUGAGAUGUUGGGUUAAGUCCCGCAACGAGCGCAACCCUUGUUCACUGUUGCCAGCACGUUAUGGUGGGGACUCAGUGGAGACCGCCGGGGUCAACUCGGAGGAAGGUGGGGAUGACGUCAAGUCAUCAUGCCCCUUAUGUCCAGGGCUUCACGCAUGCUACAAUGGCUGGUACAGAGAGUGGCGAGCCUGUGAGGGUGAGCGAAUCUCGGAAAGCCGGUCUCAGUUCGGAUUGGGGUCUGCAACUCGACCUCAUGAAGUCGGAGUCGCUAGUAAUCGCAGAUCAGCAACGCUGCGGUGAAUACGUUCCCGGGGCU